CAUUUUGCCGCUUUGAGGAAUUGGUCUUUCCCGAGAACUGUGCAUGGUCUCCACUUCGGUUUCAGGAGUGGAUUUGGUCUUGACCGAGAUAGUUUAGUACUGGAAGUUGUCUAGCUACCCGUGUAACGCAAACAGUCGGUCUGCGGUGAGAUUCGAACCAGCAGUCAUUCGGUCAGAAAGGAUGGUAAACUUCUCACUUUUUUCCUUAUAGUUCUCGCAGCUGACGUGUUUUGACGACAGAUGUCAGCACAGAAGGAAACUAAAGGCGUAGGUGGCGCUGUGUUAAGAGUAGAGCAGUUUGAAGUGCUGCGAUUCCAUUUUCGCUUAGGAAAAUAGCAAUUGUUGAUAAAAAUAAAACAUGUAUUUUUCAGUAGAAGAAAUAAUUUUUAAUGAAAAAGAGCCUUACUAUAUGACACGAUGUUUAUCGAUUUUAACAGUUCAAACCAAUUCAAAUGGAUAUCCCUAAGGAACAUCUCUAUAAUGCCUCAGUGCUUCCGGUCCUUCCUUUCUCAAAAGCACUGCGAAGGCUGCCGGCAGCGUGGUUGUUCCUUUCGCGAGUUGGUGUCUGGCGUACAGCGCGAACGUCUCAUGAGCAAGAAGCCGUAGAGACGAUGCUCUCAAUGUUGGACACCGAAGUGAGGCAACUCAUCGGGCACAACGCCAAAAUGUCCCUGUUGUGUCCUGGCCCUGGGUCACGCGUGUCGCGCCUUGACAGCCGUGACCUUGAACGACCUUGACCGGCCGGGCCGGGCCGAGCGGCCGAGGGUCAGUAUCGUCCGAGCGGCGCUGGUGUCAACACAGCUGAGUGCCGCGAGGUGAGG